ensembl:lncRNA
GAUGUGGCUGCAGUAUUUGCACAUUGAGUGAGCCCCAAUCUCUGAACAGUGAGAAGCUCCAGCACUUUCCCAGCAUUUAGUUUCCUUGAAACGAAGGUCAGUUGAGACUGUGGUAUCUUUAGGACAUGUUGUUUUACUAGCAGGGAGUGCCUGAUGGUUGCUGCUCGGGCAUUUUGAGAUGUUUAAAUGGAUAGUGCAAUUUGUGAAUUUGGACCUGCCAUGCCAAAAAUUAGGGGGAGUUGCACACAAGUCACAAUUUGGUCUGCCACCUUGAUUCAAAAUAGCAUCCGGCAUCCAAACUUCAACCAUCUUGGGAGCCUUUGUGCCAAUUUUGGCAAUGAUAUCUGCUUACCUGUAAUUUCUAUAAAGGUGGUCGAAUUGGAUUGGUCACCCCCAUUCUCUCAAGAUUUCUAAGUGCAAUUUUUGAAUAUAUCUGGUCUACCUUUUGUCAGAGUCAAACAAAUAAUUAACAGAGAUUGUUGCUAGAUUUCUCCUUCUGGCUGUAGAAACACAAAAGGAAAUCUCCCACAAUUAAACUCAUCCCAUCCACUUGCUGUUCUCACACACUACACUUUUUAAUCUGGUUAUAUCAUUUAUUGGCUCACUCUUAGCGGCCAUAUUUUAAGGUAUCAUGUUGGACGUCAUAUUUAUACAUGUUUUAGAUACUCCUGCUACUUUAUACCAUUUAUAUGACAACCCACUUUAAUGUAUUUUUAUGCUUUGAUAUUUUACUUGUACAGUUGUUGGUUUUAGUUUGUUUGGGUCUAUAGAGGUAUAAUAAAGAAUUUGUAUCUUACUAGAUGGGCUAUUGGUCUUCUACAACAGGGCUUUUCCUAGACUUUUAUGACUCGGAUUUCCAUCUUUUAGUUUGGAGUGUGUGUGUGGGGGGGCACUUCCUGCCUUCCUUUAUUCUGAAGGCCAGAAAUUUUUGGUCUCAAAUCUUCAGUGGAUAUUUUUUGCUUCUUUACCCAGUUCAGGAUACAAGCAAAACGGCACACACAAGCAAACUUACUUGUGACAUAUGCCUUAUGUAGUUCUAGAAAGCUCACAACUUCCAUUAAUUUGUAGGUAAUUUGUAAAGCUUCAUAACUUUAAUAGCAGUCAUGCUUUUAUCUCUUGAAAACCUUUUUUUUUUAAAAAGAAAAAGACAGUUUCCACAGGCUGCUGCCUGGUUUAACCAGAAAACACAAUCCUUCAUAUGAUAUAAUUAUCAGACAGAGAACUCCUUUUUGCAAUGUCUCUGAAAUUCUAUGCAUUUGUCUAUAUCAAAGCAGUAAAGCAUAGCACUGUUGAAUGUUUUUGGCAUUUAGACUUCAAAGUGACACAUGCUGAGAGGAAAGAAAGUAACAGCAAAUUGCAAAAAAGAAGAGCCAAUGAGACAGCUUAGAAAAUGUGCUGGGUUUAAUCUACUAAUAAGUUGACUAAUGCAAGCACCACUAAAAUAAACUUACUGGUGGACUGGACCCACUGACAAGGCUCAAAACCUAAGCCAACUCCACAACAGGAUUCAGCUCUUAAAAAAACUUCCCAAGACAGCUUUUUUUCACUUGACCAAACCUCUGUCCCCUUCACUCUCAUAGGGCCCCUCGAGAAUUGCAAAGAGCGCUCUGCAGCCUUGAGAAUCUGAUCAUUUUUGUCUUUAGCUGGAUCACAUUGCUCUGCUUCUAAUAUACAAUGCACUCUAUGGAAAGGCAACGUUACCGUAUGCUUCACUGCGAUUCCCUAUAAGAUAAUCAUCCAAAGGAUUCCUGAAAGUAUAACAAAGGCAUUCUGAAAACAUAGCGAUAGUUCCUUUGCCUUAUUUUCUGCAUUUGCAUUAUGAUGCUUUCAACAGAGGGACAUUGAAAUACCAAACAAGUCAGGCAUCAACCUUGCUGUUCAAUUAAGAAAAAAGGGCAUUUAAACACAUAUUUUCUAAAAAGCUAGGGAGCAUCUUUUGAAAACAACCUAUAAAGCAAUCUGGACAUGUGAUGCUUCAUGAAAAACCACCCGUUUUAUCUUAUCUGAUAAACUGGGGCACUUGGAAAACAGAAAGUGACAUGAAUGUUGCAUGUUUGAUAUUCAUCCUGCAAGCCCAUUUUCAAGCUAGUAAAUGCAGUCACAAAGGCAGCUAUCUAGUUUGUCAACUCCACACACUGACUUAUAGCAUCUUGCUGGAAUUACAAUUGAACUGCAAACUAUGGAUUCAAGAGUGUUAAGGGUCGCACAAAGAAGCAAAUGGCUUCUAAACUCAUUCCAAUGGCAACAGAGUUCAUGUCAGGUUUCGGCUCCUAUGUAUUGUGCAAGAAAAAGGA